GGAUUUGUCAGUUGGUCGGGCUUCACUGUCCGUAUCGACUUGAUGGAUUCUUACCUUCUGAAUAACCAGUAUGCUAUUAAGUUAGUGCGUUGGGGAAGCAGAUCUAUUAUCUUGAAAAAAUUAGAGUGCUUAAAGCAGGCUCAUGCUUGAAUAGAUUAGCAUGGAAUAAUAAAAUAGGACGGCAUGGUUCUAUUUUGUUGGUUUCUAGGAUCACCGUA
rnacentral:rRNA from 1 species